rnacentral:rRNA from 1 species
GACGAACGCUGGCGGCGUGCUUAACACAUGCAAGUCGAACGCGCCUGUCCUCUGGGUUUCUGGGGGGUGGGUGAGUGGCGAACGGGUGAGUAACACGUGAGUAACCUGCCCCUUCUUCGGGAUAACGGUCUGAAAGGGCUGCUAAUACCGGGUAUUCACUGGUCUCCGCAUGGGGUCUGGUGGAAAGGUUUUUUUCUGGUGGGGGAUGGGCUCGCGGCCUAUCAGCUUGUUGGUGGGGUGAUGGCCCACCAAGGCUUUGACGGGUAGCCGGCCUGAGAGGGUGACCGGUCACAUUGGGACUGAGAUACGGCCCAGACUCCUACGGGAGGCAGCAGUGGGGAAUAUUGCACAAUGGGCGCAAGCCUGAUGCAGCGACGCCGCGUGAGGGAUGGAGGCCUUCGGGUUGUGAACCUCUUUCGCCCGUGGUCAAGCCGCGACGUGGGUCGUGGUGAGGGUAGUGGGUAAAGAAGCGCCGGCUAACUACGUG